rnacentral:rRNA from 1 species
AGAGUUUGAUCCUGGCUCAGGAUGAACGCUAGCUACAGGCUUAACACAUGCAAGUCGCGGGGCAGCAUGAAGGAUGCUUGCAUUCUUUGAUGGCGACCGGCGCACGGGUGAGUAACGCGUAUCCAACCUGCCUGUUACCACGGCACAGCCCGUCGAAAGGCGGAUUAAUGCCGUAUGUGGUCCUUUGCGGGCAUCUAAUUAGGACUAAAGGUUUAGCGGUAACAGAUGGGGAUGCGUCCGAUUAGCUUGACGGCGGGGUAACGGCCCACCGUGGCGACGAUCGGUAGGGGUUCUGAGAGGAAGGUCCCCCACACUGGAACUGAGACACGGUCCAGACUCCUACGGGAGGCAGCAGUGAGGAAUAUUGGUCAAUGGGCGCAAGCCUGAACCAGCCAAGUAGCGUGAGGGAAGACUGCCCUAUGGGUUGUAAACCUCUUUUGUGCGGGGAUAAAGUGAGGGACGUGUCCCUUAUUGCAGGUACCGCACGAAUAAGGACCGGCUAAUUCCGUGCCAGCAGCCGCGGUAAUACGGAAGGUCCGGGCGUUAUCCGGAUUUAUUGGGUUUAAAGGGAGCGCAGGCCGUCCUUUAAGCGUGCUGUGAAAUGCCGCGGCUCAACCGUGGCACUGCAGCGCGAACUGGAGGACUUGAGUACGCACGAGGUAGGCGGAAUUCGUGGUGUAGCGGUGAAAUGCUUAGAUAUCACGAAGAACUCCGAUUGCGAAGGCAGCUUACCGGAGCGCAACUGACGCUGAGGCUCGAAAGCGCGGGUAUCGAACAGGAUUAGAUACCCUGGUAGUCCACACGGUAAACGAUGGAUACCCGCCGUUGGGUUUUAGAAUUCAGCGGCCAAGCGAAAGCGUUAAGC